AUUAAAUAAUUUUAACAUGAUCUAAAAUUGUGUUGUCAUAUAUUUUAGAUUCAGUCAACAUUGUUAACUUCACAAAAGUUGGUCCUGUGUUCUUGUUAGCUGUUUAGACAAUACUUUGCGACUUACAGAUAAAGACGGGGGUGAAGUGCGUUCUGAGCACACAGGCCAAAAAUGAGAGGUAAAAGAUAGGAAGUUUCCUCAAUGACAAAGAUUCUGUCGCAGUCUCUGGAUCUGAAGAUGGUUGUGUUUACAUGUGGAACCUAAUUGAAGAGACUCAAACAGGGAUGUUAUAGUCAUUGAAUGAUAAAUAUCUGCAUUUUUAGGUAUUAUAUUUUAUUUGUAGGCAUU